rnacentral:rRNA from 1 species
UGGGGAAUAUUGGGCAAUGGGCGAAAGCCUGACCCAGCGACGCCGCGUGUGGGAGGAAGCCCUUCGGGGUGUAAACCACUGUCAGGGGGGACGAAAGAGCGGGGAGUGAAUAAUUCCUCGCAGUGACGGUACCCUCAAAGGAAGCACCGGCUAACUCUGUGCCAGCAGCCGCGGUAAUACAGAGGGUGCAAGCGUUGUUCGGAAUUACUGGGCGUAAAGCGCGCGCAGGCGGGUCCGUAAGUCGGAAGUGAAAUUUCGGGGCUCAACCCCGAAGCUGCUUCUGAUACUGUGGAUCUAGGGACCGGUAGAGGCUGGUGGAAUUACAGGUGUAGCGGUGGAAUGCGUAGAUAUCUGUAAGAACACCCGUGGCGAAGGCGGCCAGCUGGGCCGGGUCCGACGCUGAGGCGCGAAAGCGUGGGGAGCAAACAGG